AAAAUGCAGGAAGGUGACAAAAAAACAAAAAUCAGGAAAAAAUAAAGGAAAAACAACAUCAGAGAUUAAGUGGAUGACCAAAACAAAAGAAUUCUUCUCUCUCUCCUCCGUGAAUGGCUUCUCUGUCUCUCCUUCUCUCCUCUCUUCUUCUCUCACCGCAACAAAAAAGAGGAUAAAUUGGUAUAGAUAUGGAAAGAAAGAGGAAAAAAGAGAAGAAAAG
rnacentral:ribozyme from 1 species